GUUAGAAUUGAACUAAACUCAGAAACUAAAACAAAAAAUAAAUUGAAAUACCAAGCAUUCAUAUUUUUACUCAAAUACUCAAAUAGAAAUGGCAUCUUUGAAACUUCAAUUUAUUUGUGGUCUUUUGAUCUCCGUCGCCUUCCUUGCUCAAUCCAAAGGUGGUGCUGCUCAAGAGCUGAAAUGCGCAAUUGUAAGCCCAUGUGAGACACAAGAUGAGUGUGCCUCAAAAUGCUCUAAUAUGGGAUCGUAUGCCCGCAGAGGUCGUUGUGCCCCCCAGCCUGAUCAUCCCGAGGCCCCUAAAGUGUGUCAAUGUUGUAUAUGAAGUACCUUACGGUUAUGAUUUCGAUUAAUUGUUUUAUCUAAUACAGAGUGUUUUUUUUUUGACAAGUAAUGCGCAAUCUCGUAUAUUCUCAUUAAUUUUCAACGUAUAUAUAUUA